UGAGGAAUAUUGGACAAUGGGCGCAAGCCUGACCCAGCAACGCCGCGUGAAGGAUGAAGUAUUUCGGUAUGUAAACUUCGAAAGAAUAGGAAGAAUAAAUGACGGUACUAUUUAUAAGGUCCGGCUAACUACGUGCCAGCAGCCGCGGUAAUACGUAGGGACCAAGCGUUGUUCGGAUUUACUGGGCGUAAAGGGCGCGUAGGCGGCAAUUCAAGUCAUCUGUGAAAUCUCCGGGCUUAACUCGGAACGGUCAGAUGAUACUGCUUUGCUAGAGUGCAGAAGGGGCAAUCGGAAUUCUUGGUGUAGCGGUGAAAUGCGUAGAUAUCAAGAGGAACACCUGAGGUGAAGACGGGUUGCUGGGCUGACACUGACGCUGAGGCGCGAAAGCCAGGGGAGCAAACGGGAUUAGAUACCCCUGUAGUCCCUGAGCGGGCUGGCAAGGCGCAU
rnacentral:rRNA from 1 species